ACGCUGGCGGCAGGCCUAACACAUGCAAGUCGAGCGGUAGAGAGAAGCUUGCUUCUCUUGAGAGCGGCGGACGGGUGAGUAAUGCCUAGGAAUCUGCCUGGUAGUGGGGGAUAACGCUCGGAAACGGACGCUAAUACCGCAUACGUCCUACGGGAGAAAGCAGGGGACCUUCGGGCCUUGCGCUAUCAGAUGAGCCUAGGUCGGAUUAGCUAGUUGGUGAGGUAAUGGCUCACCAAGGCGACGAUCCGUAACUGGUCUGAGAGGAUGAUCAGUCACACUGGAACUGAGACACGGUCCAGACUCCUACGGGAGGCAGCAGUGGGGAAUAUUGGACAAUGGGCGAAAGCCUGAUCCAGCCAUGCCGCGUGUGUGAAGAAGGUCUUCGGAUUGUAAAGCACUUUAAGUUGGGAGGAAGGGCAGUAAAUUAAUACUUUGCUGCUUUGACGUUACCGACAGAAUAAGCACCGGCUAACUCUGUGCCAGCAGCCGCGGUAAUACAGAGGGUGCAAGCGUUAAUCGGAAUUACUGGGCGUAAAGCGCGCGUAGGUGGUUUGUUAAGUUGGAUGUGAAAUCCCCGGGCUCAACCUGGGAACUGCAUUCAAAACUGACAAGCUAGAGUAUGGUAGAGGGUGGUGGAAUUUCCUGUGUAGCGGUGAAAUGCGUAGAUAUAGGAAGGAACACCAGUGGCGAAGGCGACCACCUGGACUGAUACUGACACUGAGGUGCGAAAGCGUGGGGAGCAAAC
rnacentral:rRNA from 1 species